UACGAAGGGGGCUAGCGUUGCUCGGAAUGACUGGGCGUAAAGGGCGCGUAGGCGGUUUGUACAGUCAGGUGUGAAAUUCCCGGGCUCAACCUGGGGGCUGCACUUGAUACGUAUGGACUGGAGUGGGGAAGAGGGUCGUGGAAUUCCCAGUGUAGAGGUGAAAUUCGUAGAUAUUGGGAAAAACACCGGUGGCGAAGGCGGCGACCUGGUCCUUGACUGACGCUGAGGCGCGAAAGCGUGGGGAGCAAACAGG
rnacentral:rRNA from 1 species